AAUCAACGCUGGCGGCGUGCCUAACACAUGCAAGUCGAACGCGACUGGGGCUUCGGCUCCAGUUGAGUGGCGAACGGGUGAGUAACACGUGGGUGACCUACCUUCGAAUGGGGGAUAACGUCCCGAAAGGGACGCUAAUACCGCAUAACAUCCUGCCUUUGAACGGGUGGAGAUCAAAGCCGGGGAUCGCAAGACCUGGCGUUUGAAGAGGGGCCCGCGUCCGAUUAGCUAGUUGGUGGGGUAACGGCNCACCAAGGCGACGAUCGGUAGCCGGCCUGAGAGGGCGGACGGCCACACUGGGACUGAGACACGGCCAGACUCCUACGGGAGGCAGCAGUGGGGAAUUGUUCGCAAUGGGCGCAAGCCUGACGACGCAACGCCGCGUGGAGGAUGAAGGUCUUCGGAUUGUAAACUCCUGUUGCCCGGGACGAAUAGCUCCGACCUAACACGUCGGAGUCUGACGGUACCGGGUGAGGAAG
rnacentral:rRNA from 1 species